rnacentral:rRNA from 1 species
GGUCAAGCUACAAAGAGCACAAGGGGAAUGCCUUGGCACCGAGAGCCGAUGAAGGACGUGACUAACUGCGAUAAGCCACGGGGAGCUGUAAGUGAGCGUUAUAUCCGUGGAUUUCCGAAUGGAGCAAUCCGGCAAGAGGAAAGUCUUGUCAUCAUACACUGAAUCCAUAGGUGUAUGAGGGGAACCGCCUGAACUGAAACAUCUAAGUAGGGCGAGGAAGAGAAAUCAACAGAGAUUCCGUCAGUAGUGGCGAGCGAACGCGGAAGAGGCCAAACCCAUUGUAGUAAUACAGUGGGGGUUCGGACAGCAUACGGUAUGUAAAAUUUUAGUCGAAUGGCAUGGGAAGGUCAAUCAUAGAAGG